rnacentral:rRNA from 1 species
UACGUAGGGUGCGAGCGUUGUCCGGAAUUACUGGGCGUAAAGAGCUCGUAGGUGGUUUGGUAAGUCUUAUGUGAAAUCUACAGGCUCAACUUGUAGUCUGCAUGAGAAACUGCCGGGCUUGAGUAUGGGAGAGGUGAGUGGAAUUCCUGGUGUGGCGGUGAAAUGCGUAGAUAUCAGGAGGAACACCUGUGGCGAAAGCGGCUCACUGGACCAUAACUGACGCUGAUGCACGAAAGCUAGGGGAGCAAACAGG